ensembl:lncRNA
GAGUAUCAGAGUGAUUAAAUGUGAUAGUUUUGACCAGCAAUUUCUGGCUUUGAAGAUGGAGGAAGGGACCAGGUACCAAGGAAUGCAUACUGCCUCUAGAAAUUGAAACAGGCAAGGAAAUGGAUUCUUCCCUGGGACCCCCAGAAAAGAAUGCUGCCCUGCUAACACCUUAAUUUUAAUCCAAGGAGACCUGUGUCAGACGUCUGACUUCCUAAACUGUUUAGCUGCACAUCAGGAGCCAUUUAUGGAAGACAGAUACAAGGCAUACACUGCGAACGAAUGUCAAGAAAUGGGAGGGAGAAGAACUUCAAGGGAAGGUGCUGAAAAUCUAG